GACGAACGCUGGCGGCGUGCUUAACACAUGCAAGUCGAACGGAAAGGCCUCUUUCGGGGGGUACUCGAGUGGCGAACGGGUGAGUAACACGUGAGUAACCUGCCCUUUACUUUGGGAUAACUUCAGGAAACUGGGGCUAAUACCGGAUAGGAGCUCCUGCUGCAUGGUGGGGGUUGGAAAGUUUCGGCGGUUGGGGAUGGACUCGCGGCUUAUCAGCUUGUUGGUGGGGUAGUGGCUUACCAAGGCUUUGACGGGUAGCCGGCCUGAGAGGGUGACCGGCCACAUUGGGACUGAGAUACGGCCCAGACUCCUACGGGAGGCAGCAGUGGGGAAUAUUGCACAAUGGGUGGAAGCCUGAUGCAGCAACGCCGGGGGCGGGAUGACGGCCUUCGGGUUGUAAAACGCUUUCGCUCAUGACGAAGCUUUGUGUGACGGUAGUGGGUAAAGAAGCACCGGCUAACUACGUG
rnacentral:rRNA from 1 species